UAACUAAGGGAGGACUCAGGGUGACGUGAUCCAGCCCUAACUACACUCAAAAAAGUGAAUGAGGUGGAUUGCUCAGUGUAUAUUAAUUAUUUAUUUUCAUUUUACUUAAAAUGUAUGUUUUUGGUAAGUUAAAAUAUGUUUUUCUAAUAAAGUCUACAUAAUUGUGUCUAUUAUUGUCUGUACAGAAUACUAAUGUGUUACUUGAUGGCAUAACAUUUAAGUUAAGUUAAUUAGGAUCGAUAUACUUCGUAUAUCCACAAGGUGGCCAUAACAGUUGUAAUAAAACCGCAAAGAACAACAAGGUUUCACGGCUUGGGCCUGCUCAUGUGCAAGACUUCAAAUUUAACUUAGAAACGUUGUUUUUGGCGCCAAGCUGCUGUUUCUUUUUUGAGAGGUAAGACCACUUUUUUCUUUGACUAUGUUGUUUAGUAUCUACAUGUCGAGCAUGAUGAUAUUUUGCGUUUGUCUUACAAGACAUGUUAUAUAGUUUGUAUACGCCUGUGCUACAUUAGUUUUACUGGGUCCUGGACAAGUUAGAUAUGUCUGUUUUUAUCCUGCCAAACCCUGCCAUCGUAACACGGGAACCGUGAGACCAUUGGACAUUUGUUGGGUAUAGGUAUACAUGGUGUGCAAGGUUUUUGGUAACAGAUGAAGUAUGCCCCUCACAGAGCAAACCUGGGCUUAAGAUGAAAUAUAAUAUUACAAGGGAUGACAUUUAGUGUGCCUGUUUAUCUCAGGCUAUUGCAAACAACUAUAUUAACUGCUUACCUGUUAACAUGCUUAUUUUGUGGAAUGUGACAUUUUUAUUGUUUUUGGUUUUAUUAAGGGAUUUGCUGUAGGGGUUCAAGGGGUUAUUUUUUCAUUUACUUUCUUGGAAUUCCUUUACUGUAAUCCGAGAGUCACAAAUAUCGAAUAGGAUAGAAAGGAUAGCAUGAAGUUGUGACAUUUAAAAUCCAAAAAGUCGAGGGCAAAAGCCACUCUGACACCAUUGUUAUGCUCUGUCAGUAAUCUGUAUUAUGUAAAAAUGGUCUGUAAAUACAGCAUGUUUCCUAGCGGAGUUAUACAAAUCAACAUAGUUAUAAAUUACAUUUUGUUAAAUCACACACUAUAGAAAGUUAGCACAUGGCAGUGUCGAUCUCUUGCUUUUCUUCUGAGUAGUAUUUUAUCUAGUUGUUAUUCAAUCAAUAAUUUGCUUCUUGAUAUUAAAUAAUGAAUUUCUUGUUUUACUUUAUAAAUUUCAGAUCCUGCCUUUACCUGCUCCCUCCUAUACUGAUGUGGUGUAUGUGGUACUGCUGAGCUUGUAUGUGAUCUGAACCAUUGUAAAGGUUGCAGUUCAAGGGCCUGAGGUGGAAGCAGAAUUUGUGAGGAUUACUACUGCUCCACUUGUUCCAAGGCUUUUUGCACAACUUGACCAAUACACCAAUGACCAGCUCAUAAAAGCCUUCAAGAAAAAAGGAGGCGCUGCAGGGAGGAAGAUUAGACAAACUUUGGCCCCAGCCACACAGAAGCAAACUAUUGAAAAGGGGAGGGAGUGUGUCCUCAGUGCACUACCUCUUUACCUAAAUGAAGACCCAAGCAUCCUCUUCAAAGAAUACCUGGAUUCUGAUGCUACAGCUGUUCAGAGGGAGCUGGACCAAAUUACCCUUGGUAUCUUUACCAUUGAAAGAGCUGAUGCCAGCACUCCUCCAGCUGAUGUGGGUAUAACCAUCGAGGGUGUUCUGCAUGACCUGGAAGACAUGGACUCUGCAUGUGCACUCUUAAUGGGUGGGAUAUAUGCACUGAAUCUCAGUUAACCUCGAGACUGAAAGCUUUCUUUGAAGUACUUCAGAAGCUCUUCCUUCAUCUGUAUGUCAGCAGACUCUUGACCAAGAUACAGAUGCUCAAGAAUAAACUGAUUGAAUAAGCCAACCCUUAAUUUGGAUGAUGAAUGUUCUGUCAGAUGGACAGAAGUUUUUCGGAGGCUGUAUGUGAAUAAAAUGGCAAUUUGUUGAAAAUAGCAGAUGAAGGGAAAAACUACAUUUGAGAGAAAUUUAGAAAAUUUAUUAGAAAAUUUAUUGUAAAUUUAAAUGUUAUCAGGAAAUGAUCAGACAGGAGAGGGUAUAUCUAUCUAUCUAUAUAUCUAUAGAUAAAUAGA